UGGAAGGGGAGAGCACCAGCCUUUGCCUAUACCACGGAGAAGAUUGUGUAGUGACCUCGGACCCGGAAGAAUGCAUUAGUGCUUAUCAAACACUCUGCCUUCCUCGAGCUGGGGGAGCACAGGCCUGACACCAGAAAACCCCAGAACCCACCUUUCUACGGAGACUCGACAGGUGGCAAAUCUUCAGAUACCCACACCUCCGAGCAUAUCAGUGGAGAACGUGCUAUUUUCUGAUCUUUGUAAUUUUAAAACAGAUCUUCAUUUCAACCAUGUUUAUUAAGCAGAAGAUUCCAGGAAUCUUGGGUGGGCCUCGGAGGCGGGUGUCUUUCUUGCUCCUCUUCACUUGGAGGAUCCCUGCCAGGGUCGCCACACUCAUGGAUGUCUACACCUGAAAGCGAAACAAACAGCGGGCUCGCCCACGAUUCUCUCUGGUAUCUGGUGCACGCGAAAUUCUACAGUUUGGGCUAAUGAUUAAGCAGAGUUACGGGGCCCAAGCAAGGCCUUUUGCUCCCCACUCCUUCCUCCAUGAGAGCAGACUCUGUGCACCACCACCUAGGGCACCGCGGCAAGCUGGUGCUGAGAGGACACACUCUGUCUGCUUGGUGUGGGUCUUCUUAUCCAUCGGUGCCACGCCAGUAGGCCACCUGCUGAAGUGACUGUGCAGGAGAGAGGAAGCAGAGGAAUGGCCGACAGUUGUCUGUGUGCUUCUAAUAAAGUGCUGCAACCCUGCCCUGUAGCAGACCCAGGCCCCAGCAUCUACCCUGUGGGAUCAAGUUUCCUCCAACUCUGGCACAUGGCAAGAAUGCAGCUUUUACAGAAGCAAGCAGGGAACAGUGCCACUCCUCUGUGUAGGAGCCCCCUCUGAGGCUCUGCACGUGAGAGGUCAUGGCCAUCAGAUCAGCUGCGGCACGAGUAAUGGACACUUUCCUCGUCUUCAAUCACUUUACCUCCUGAAGGUAAAGCUAGAAUCGGAAAAGUCAAAAUGAAAAAUGUCCCAAGACCCGGAAGACUCACACUUGCCAGGGGACAGGUGUGCCCUUUGGAGGCCGGUCUCCUUGUCCUACUCCAGACAAGGCGGCUGCCGACGACCCUAGAGCCUGGGCAGAUCCAACCCCGUCAUACAACCGUGCAGAGCCACCCCGCUGCCGAGGUUCUUGUCCACUGCUAAGAUCACAGGCACAGCUCUGGGACUGUCCUGGCCUCGUGGCAGCAUGCAUGGCGUGAAGGGGACCGGCCUUGCUCACUGCCCAUCGCCGUUCCACCGCUGUGGUUACUGCCAGCAUUUUCAUCUUGGAGACAAGAAGAAACCCUGGGCUUCUUGGAAGUUCCCCUGGCUAGUAGCUGCGGUGCUUACUGAACUUUUUGUCUUGCCACCUCCACGUCCCACCCUGGGGACGAAGGACUGCGAUGUGAUGCCUGGAAGCAACAUUGUCUGUCCCUCCACGCCUUCCAAACCUCUUCUCCCUGACUCAAGCUCCGAUAUGUCAGGUGGGGGUAUUUACAUGUUUAUGGAGCGAUGGAAAAAAAGCUUUCCCAGGAUGCGGUUACUUCAUUCUUCUCUCCAUCUGGACAUGUGGGGAAUGAUCACAUUUAUCCCGUGUAGCAUUUUGAGGACAUGCAAGUGGAUUGUUUAAACACACAUUUUAAGAUGCAUUUGUUUAUGGAUCAAACAUAUUUACAUGAGCCUAGUAGGGGCCUGGAAUAAUGUUAGCCGAGGUGCGAGAGUGAACAUGACAUAACGGCUUUUCUUUCUCUCCCAUGCAGCACAGUUAAGCAGAGGAGGCGCAGGUCGUACAUUUGCACAAAGAAACACGCAUGUUGUGAAUGGGCGAGCGUGGGGGAAGAUGAGCACGAGUGUCUCAUUUGAUUUUCAUCAUCGGGAUACUUGUUUUUGAGAAAGUUAUGUUUAAGCUAAGAUCCAAAGGGCCGUUGGGAUGCAUCCAAGCAAAGGGAGGGGGGUGGCACAUUCCAGAGAGGUGGGAACCCAUGUGGUGGAAGCAGAGCAGGGGAGGACGUGGGUGUGGCAUGUGUCCUGCACGGCCACAGAGAGAACGUGGCUUUUAUUGUAAAAGCAGAGGGAAGCUGCUGAAUGAUCCUGUGAUGGCAUAACUUGUCUCUCCUACUAGACCGUGAACCCCGCAAGGCCAGAAACCCACAUGAACAUGGUGUUGCCCCUCCCACAGCAGCGGAUACUGUGAUUUGCUAACUAAAUAUUUGCUAACUAGAAUGUCCUAAGUUAGAGAUAGCAAGGGUGCUUUCUGAGGUCUUUCACUCAAGCUUUGCUGCAACUCAGAAGGUCCUCAAGCUGCGAGAAGAAUAGAAUGUUAACUUUGUUCCAUCGAGCCAGGUAGGUUUUUUUUUUUAUUAUUAUUAUUUUUUUAUUUUUUUUUAUGAUAGUCACAGAGAGAGAGAGAGAGAGAGGCAGAGACACAGGCAGAGAGAGAAGCAGGCUCCAUGCACCGGGAGCCCGACGUGGGACUCGAUCCCGGGUCUCCAGGAUCACACCCUGGGCCAAAGGCAGGUGCCAAACCGCUGCGCCACCCAGGGAUCCCGAGCCAGUAGGUUUUAAAACUAGAGGCAAAAGCUCACCCAAUACAGUCUGUGUGUGUAUCUGAGGAACGAUGAACAACAUGUUCUGUUUCCCUCCUUUUGAAGGACUUCCGAUUUGUUUCUUCUUGUUCCCUCUGGGGUUUUCAAGAUAUUACAUGGAGCUGGUGAAUGUUUCACAUCGUGCUUGGUGGUCACUUCACAGAAAGAAAUGCAUAGAAAUACCCCAGGGCACGGGGCCUGAUGUUGGGGUCACGGACCAGCAGCCUCGUGGAGCAGGUGCCUAUCUCCUCCCAUCACGCAGGUGGGAAUAGAGGGGAGUCCCCAGAAAGUGGUCCCUAAGCGCUCACUUCUCUCUCCUUUGCAUUUGGCAUUUUCCACCCGAGAAGGGUCAUGUGGUAUCUCCCAUAGUAGGGUCUUUAAACAUGAUGAGAAGCUCAAAUCUCAUCGUGUUUUAUAUGUGAUCCCACAAAAUAUUUCUUGAUGAAUACACCCUUUUGUAAAUUCUAUUAUUAUUAUUAUUAUUAUUAUUAUUAUUAUUAUUUUAGAGAGGGACUGAGAGAGAUGGUGGGAGAGGCAAAGGGAAAGAGAGAAUCCCAAGCAGACUCCACACUCCGCGUGGAGCCCCACGCGGGCUCGAUCUCAUAACCCUGAGGUCACGACUUGACCGGAAAUCAAGAGUCGGGGGCUUAACGGACUGAGCCCCCCAGGCACCCCUGUACGCUCGUUAUUAUAACAAUGAGGCAUAAAAAUGGGUCUGACACAAAA